AGCGGGAUUUACAAACAUGAUUACCCCGGUGAAGAUAGGCUUUUCAACCUUGCCGGGAUACACUGAAUUGAGUUAAAGCUUUUCGGGAUACUGGAAAGUGUAGGCUUUUUGCUUGAAGCAAUUCAAGCAAAGAAGACAGCAAAGCUGGCAACAAAGUGGUGUAGUAUAUCAUCAUAAGGACGUCAAAAGUAGAAUCCUUGUGGCUGACGAAUAAUAAACGCUUGCGGUGCAAGAAUAACCUGUUUGUGUUCGUGGUGUGAAAGACUACAAACAAAACAGGAAUUUCAUUAAGUCGGCUUGCCUUGAAUCCGGGAAACCGGAGUAUAACACAAGAAAUUCGUUAAAGUAGCGGUAUGGCAAAACAAAAUUUUUUUUGCAAAUCAAAAAAAAUUCCGAAAGAACCGUGAAAUUUGCAGGUUAAAUUCGCUCCCUGUCCGUGCUUGACAGCGGUAAGAAGCCAAGGGUCGCACCCGGAAGCUCGGACUUAUCGUCACGGUGACUGAAUGUGACUGCGGGUAUGAUGAAUAAAGAGAAGUCUUAAUCAUGUUUGUUUUUUGGA
ncrna:unclassified sequences ROOL RNA